rnacentral:rRNA from 1 species
AUUGAACGCUGGCGGCAGGCCUAACACAUGCAAGUCGAGCGGUAGAGAGAAGCUUGCUUCUCUUGAGAGCGGCGGACGGGUGAGUAAUGCCUAGGAAUCUGCCUAGUGGUGGGGGAUAACGUUCGGAAACGGACGCCAAUACCGCAUACGUCCUACGGGAGAAAGCGGGGGACCUUCGGGCCUCGCGCCAUUAGAUGAGCCUAGGUCGGAUUAGCUAGUUGGUGAGGUAAUGGCUCACCAAGGCUACGAUCCGUAACUGGUCUGAGAGGAUGAUCAGUCACACUGGAACUGAGACACGGUCCAGACUCCUACGGGAGGCAGCAGUGGGGAAUAUUGGACAAUGGGCGAAAGCCUGAUCCAGCCAUGCCGCGUGUGUGAAGAAGGUCUUCGGAUUGUAAAGCACUUUAAGUUGGGAGGAAGGGUAGUAACUUAAUACGUUGCUACUUGACGUACCGAC